rnacentral:misc_RNA from 1 species
UUUCCGUAGGUGAACCUGCGGAAGGAUCAUUAACGAGUUAGGGUCUCUCUGGCCCGACCUCCCAACCCUUUGUCUACUUGACCAUCGUUGCUCCGGCGAGCCCGUCCUCACGGACCGCCGGAGGGAUCUUUACUGGCCCUCUGGUCCGCGCUCGUCGGUAGCCCAACCUUUAAAAUCUUUAACUAAACGUGCCUUAAUCUAAGUACAAUUAUUAAAUAAAAGCAAAACUUUCAACAACGGAUCUCUUGGUUCUG